GCACCCGUAGCUCAAUUGGAUAGAGCAUCUGACUACGGAUCAGAAGGUUUCAAGUUCGAGUCUUGACGGGUGCA
rnacentral:tRNA from 1 species